rnacentral:rRNA from 1 species
CACGUAGGUGGGUCGCUUAGUCGGGGGUGAAAUCCUGGAGCUCAACUCCAGAACUGCCUUCGAUACUGGCGAUCUUCGAGUCCGGGAGAGGUGGGUGGAACUGCGAGUGUAGAGGUGAAAUUCGUAGAUAUUCGCAAGAACACCAGUGGCGAAGGCGGCUCACUGGCCCGGUACUGACACUGAGGUGCGAAAGCGUGGGGAGCAAACA